rnacentral:rRNA from 1 species
CACGUAGGGUGCGAGCGUUGCUCGGAAUUACUGGGCGUAAAGCGCGCGCAGGCGGCUCUUUAAGUCUCGUGGUCAAAUGCCGGGGCUCAACCCCGAGCGUGCCGGGGAUACUGGAGGGCUGGAGACAGGUAGAGGCAAGCGGAAUUCCGGGUGUAGCGGUGGAAUGCGUAGAGAUCCGGAAGAACACCGGAGGCGAAGGCGGCUUGCUGGGCUGACACUGACGCUGAGGCGCGAAAGCUAGGGGAGCGAACGGG